GGUCUGGUGGUCUAGUGGUAUGAUUGUCGCUUCGGGAGAUCCGCCAGUUUCCAAGCUGGCUCCAAUGUGACAGGUCCCGGGUUCAAUCCCCGGCCAGACCC